rnacentral:rRNA from 1 species
CAGCAGCCGCGGUAAUACGAAGGGGGCUAGCGUUGUUCGGAAUUACUGGGCGUAAAGCGCACGUAGGCGGACAUUUAAGUCAGGGGUGAAAUCCCGGGGCUCAACCCCGGAACUGCCUUUGAUACUGGGUGUCUAGAGUAUGGAAGAGGUGAGUGGAAUUCCGAGUGUAGAGGUGAAAUUCGUAGAUAUUCGGAGGAACACCAGUGGCGAAGGCGGCUCACUGGUCCAUUACUGACGCUGAGGUGCGAAAGCGUGGGGAGCAAACAGGAUUAGAUACCCCGGUAGUCCCUGUCUCUUAUAC